AUCCAGCUGACGAGUCCCUAAUAGGACGAAAACGCGACCUGGAU
rnacentral:hammerhead_ribozyme from 1 species